UACGUAGGGGGGCAAGCGUUGUCCGGAUUCAUUGGGCGUAAAGAGCGUGUAGGCGGCCAGGUAGGUCGGUUGUGAAAACUGGAGGCUCAACCUUCAGAGGUCGACCGAAACCAUCUGGCUAGAGUCCGGGAGAGGAGAGUGGAAUUCCUGGUGUAGCGGUGAAAUGCGCAGAUAUCAGGAAGAACACCCGUGGCGAAAGCGGCUCUCUGGAACGGUACUGACGCUGAGACGCGAAAGCGUGGGGAGCAAACAGG
rnacentral:rRNA from 1 species